rnacentral:sRNA from 1 species
GAGCAUGGCAAGGUUGGCGAUCGCCAUCACUGUCGUCGAGCCCUGGCUGUGCUCGGUGACGCCGA